ACUUUUAAAGGAUAGAAGUUAUCCAUUGGUCUUAGGAACCAAAAAAU
rnacentral:tRNA from 2 species